AUACGUAGGGUGCUAGCGUUGUUCGGAAUCAUUGGGCGUAAAGCGAGUGUAGGCUGUUUAUUAAGUCGGGUGUGAAAGCCCUGGGCUCAACCCAGGAAGUGCAUCCGAAACUAAUAAACUAGAAGACGGUAGAGGAAGGUGGAAUUCCAAGUGUAGAGGUGAAAUUCGUAGAUAUUUGGAGGAAUACCGGUGGCGAAGGCGGCCUUCUGGGCCGUUCUUGACGCUGAGACUCGAAAGCGUGGGUAGCAAACAGGAUUAGAUACCCUGGUAGUCCACGCCGUAAACGAUGGGUACUAGGUGUUGCGGGAAUUGACCCCUGCAGUGCCGAAGCUAACGCAUUAAGUACCCCGCCUGGGAAGUACGGCCGCAAGGUUAAA
rnacentral:rRNA from 1 species